rnacentral:rRNA from 1 species
UACGGAGGGUGCGAGCGUUGUCCGGAAUCACUGGGCGUAAAGGGUGCGUAGGCGGCGCGGGUAGUCAUCGGUGAAAGUUCAGGGCUCAACUCUGAAUCGGCCGGUGAUACUCUCGUGCUUGAGCACUGUAGAGGCAGGUGGAAUUCCGGGUGUAGCGGUGGAAUGCGUAGAGAUCCGGAAGAACACCGGUGGCGAAGGCGGCCUGCUGGGCAGUAGCUGACGCUGAUGCGCGACAGCGUGGGGAGCAAACAGG